rnacentral:misc_RNA from 1 species
AAGUCGUAACAAGGUAACCGUAGGUGAACCUGCGGUUGGAUCAUUAUUGAAAUCUAACCUUGGAUGUUGGGAGCAAUCCCUACACCAACACCCCAAAACCUUGCCCGUGGUUCUAAAACAAACGUUUCAGACCACGGCGUGAAACUCAAAGAACAGCUUCGGCUGCUCUUUACACCUAGAUUCACCUUUUUUAAAAUUUACUAUUUUUCAACUCCGAAAGGAACAGAAAAAAAAAACAACUUUUGACAAUGGAUCUCUAGGCUCUC